UACAGUUUCAGAGGUUCAGUCCAUUAUCAUCACAGUAGGUAGCACAGCAGAAUCCAGGCAGACACAGUUCUGGAAAAGGAGCUGAGAGUUCUGCAUCUUGACCUGACUGCAUCCAGGAUAGACUGUCUCCCAGGCAGCUAGGAGGAGGGUCUUAUUGUCCACCCCCACAGUGACACACUUCCUCCAACAAGGCCAUACCUCCUAAUAAUGCCACUCCCUAGGACAAGCAUAUUCAAACCACAAUCAUAAUGCGGUAUAAUUGUGGUGGAGGUGACAGGACAGUUAGUGAGCCCAGAAAAGGUCUCCCUCUGAGGAAUCACACCAUCCCUCAGGCCUAGUAUAAAGAAGAUUUGUUAGGGGCAGGGGGAGGGCUGGAUGGGGGCAGAAAAAGGAGGGGAGAAAGAUAAAAAGAGAGAGGAGGAAGAGGCCAGCCGGGAACAUGUGGGGACAAGAAAGAGAGAGUGAAGAAAGGGAGAGAGUGUUGGGUAGCAGUCUUCUUAUAAGCUGAGGCACCUGGCUUGUACCCGGAAGCAGAUUAGAGCUGUGGUUUUUGCAUUGACAAUUAGGGAUCCCAAUCUGGGGUUCUGAGAAUGAUCUUUCUUUUGGAGGAAUCACAGGAAUGGAAGCCAGGUUCCAGCAAGGACCCAUUCUUGGAGUCCAGACAGCCUGAUGUUAAGUUCUCCACUGAUGU
rnacentral:lncRNA from 1 species